rnacentral:tRNA from 1 species
GCCUCCGUAGCUCAAUAGGCAGAGCAACUCACUUGUAAUGAGAAGGUUGUAGGUUCGAUUCCUAUCGGAGGCUCA